AACGAACGCUGGCGGCAUGCCUAACACAUGCAAAUCGAACGAGACCUUCGGGUCUAGUGGCGCACGGGUGCGUAACGCGCGGGAACCUGCCCUUAGGUUCGGAAUAACUCCCCGAAAGGGGUGCUAAUACCGGAUAAUGUCUUCGGACCAAAGAUUUAUCGCCUUUGGAUGGGCCCGCGUUGGAUUAGCUAGUUGGUAGGGUAAAAGCCUACCAAGGCGACGAUCCAUAGCUGGUCUGAGAGGAUGAUCAGCCACACUGGGACUGAGACACGGCCCAGACUCCUACGGGAGGCAGCAGUGGGGAAUAUUGGACAAUGGGCGAAAGCCUGAUCCAGCAAUGCCGCGUGAGUGAUGAAGGCCUUAGGGUUGUAAAGCUCUUUUACCCGGGAUGAUAAUGACAGUACCGGGAGAAUAAGCUCCGGCUAACUCCGUG
rnacentral:rRNA from 1 species